GAUGAACGCUAGCGGCAGGCCUAAUACAUGCAAGUCGAACGGUAAGGCCCUUUCGGGGGUACACGAGUGGCGGACGGGUGCGUAACGCGUAUGCAACAUGCCUUCCAGCGGGGGAUAUACCAGGGAAACUUGGCGCAAUACCCCAUAGAAUUACGGGACCGCAUGGUCUUGUGAUUAAAACUCCGGUGCUGGGAGAUUGGCAUGCGUGACAUUAGCUAGUUGGCGGGGUAACGGCCCACCAAGGCGACGAUGUCUAGCUGGUCUGAGAGGAUGAUCAGCCACACUGGGACUGAGACACGGCCCAGACUCCUACGGGAGGCAGCAGUAGGGAAUAUUGGACAAUGGGGGGAACCCUGAUCCAGCAAUGCCGCGUGUGUGAAGAAGGCCUGCGGGUUGUAAAGCACUUUCAGUAGGGAAGAUUAUGACGGUACCUACAGAAGAAGCACCGGCUAACUCCGUG
rnacentral:rRNA from 1 species